GACGAACGCUGGCGGCGUGCUUAACACAUGCAAGUCGAACGGAAAGGCCCUGCUUUUGUGGGGUGCUCGAGUGGCGAACGGGUGAGUAACACGUGAGUAACCUGCCCUUGACUUUGGGAUAACUUCAGGAAACUGGGGCUAAUACCGGAUAGGAGCUCCUGCUGCAUGGUGGGGGUUGGAAAGUUUCGGCGGUUGGGGAUGGACUCGCGGCUUAUCAGCUUGUUGGUGGGGUAGUGGCUUACCAAGGCUUUGACGGGUAGCCGGCCUGAGAGGGUGACCGGCCACAUUGGGACUGAGAUACGGCCCAGACUCCUACGGGAGGCAGCAGUGGGGAAUAUUGCACAAUGGGCGGAAGCCUGAUGCGGCAACGCCGCGUGCGGGAUGACGGCCUUCGGGUUGUAAACCGCUUUCGCCUGUGACGAAGCGUGAGUGACGGUAAUGGGUAAAGAAGCACCGGCUAACUACGU
rnacentral:rRNA from 1 species